rnacentral:rRNA from 1 species
AUUGAACGCUGGCGGCAUGCCUUACACAUGCAAGUCGAACGGCAGCACGGGAGCAAUCCUGGUGGCGAGUGGCGAACGGGUGAGUAAAGUAUCGGAACGUGCCCAGUCGUGGGGGAUAACGUAGCGAAAGUUACGCUAAUACCGCAUACGAUCUAUGGAUGAAAGCGGGGGAUCGCAAGACCUCGCGCGAUUGGAGCGGCCGAUAUAAGAUUAGGUAGUUGGUGGGGUAAAGGCUCACCAAGCCGACGAUCUGUAGCUGGUCUGAGAGGACGACCAGCCACACUGGGAGUGAGACACGGCCCCGACUCCUACGGGAGGCAGCAGUGGGGAAUUUUGGACAAUGGGCGAAAGCCUGAUCCAGCCAUGCCGCGUGCAGGAUGAAGGCCUUCGGGUUGUAAACUGCUUUUGUACGGAACGAAAAGGUUUGGCCUAAUAAGCUGAGCUCAUGACGGUACCGUAAGAAUAAGCACCGGCUAACUACGUGCCAGCAGCCGCAGUAA